UGAAGACACAGUGAAAGAGUUGCGCAGACAACAAGUCGAUGGACACAGACUCAGCAUAAAAGAAAAUGUAGAUGUGAUCAGACUGCAGAAGCAACUUUCUGAGAAGAGUACAGCCCUUCUGGUUCUUCAGGAGAAGUUUACCAGUCUGCAGGAGGCUUAUGAGGCCAAGCUGGAGGAGGAUCAGAAGUCACUGCGAGAGAGUCAGGGGGCCUUGCUGGGAAAGGUUGAAGAGCUGAGUGAACAGCUGAAAGAGGAAAAGCAGAGAGUGCUGAUGCUGGAAGGUCAGCUCAGUACCGCUGCUCUAUCACUGCAGAGCCUGCAAGAGGUAUCUGUCAUUUUUCAAUACAGUAGAUGUUAGAUUAUGUUCUUUUUUU
rnacentral:lncRNA from 1 species